rnacentral:rRNA from 1 species
AUAGCGUAUAUUAAAGUUGUUGCAGUUAAAAAGCUCGUAGUUGAACCUUGGACCUGGCCGACUGGUCUGCCUCACCGCAUGCACUGGUUUGGCUGGGUCUUUCCUUCUGGCAAGCCGCAUGCUCUUCACUGGGUGUGUUGGGGAACCAGGACUUUUACUUUGAAAAAAUUAGAGUGUUCAAAGCAGGCAUUGGCUCGAAUACAUUAGCAUGGAAUAAUAGAAUAGGACGUGUGGUUCUAUUUUGUUGGUUUCUAGGACCACCGUAAUGAUUAAUAGGGAUAGUUGGGGGCAUUAGUAUUUAAUUGUCAGAGGUGAAAUUCUCGGAUUUGUUAAAGACUAACUUAUG